AAGGCAGCUAGCUUCACAGAGGAUUAUGGUCGGGAUCCUGUAAUGCAGACGUCACUCUGCCUCCAGUGAGCCUGCAGGGCUUUGCAGAAGGCCAUGCUUUCUGUGGAUGAGGUGGAGAAGAAAUCUAAGGCCAUCAUUGAGGAAUAUCCCCAUAUCAAUGGCAUGAAGGAGGCAGUACAGUGUGUCCAGGAGCCUAGCUUCACCCUCCUUGCUCUUCAUCUUUAUAUGGCUCAGCAUCAAGUCCACGCUGGAGCAUAGUACCAUUGCUUGUGAGCAUAAGGGACAACUGCAGUACUAACUGCUCUCUAAUGCUCAGUACUAUCAAUGGUUGUAUGAAACACUAGAAUAGGCUGAGGACCUGGAAAUUGAUAUCCCUCAUGUAUGGCUUUACUUGACAAAACUGAUAACACCUAUUAUCCAGGAAGAUGGGGUGCCCACCGGAAAGCCUCAGAGACCCAUGGGCAAAGCUACUUCUUUGUUGCAGGAGAUCCUGGGUCUCUUAUGUCAGAGCAAGGAUGCCAAAAAGGCGAGGAUGCUGUGGUAAGAGGCUGGGCUGAACUGGAGGGAAUUUCUAGCAGAGGGCCAAGACAUUGGCUCAUUUGUGGCUGAAAAGAAGGUGGAAUAUACCUUGGGAGAAGAAUGAAGCUCCUGGCCAGAGGACACUUGCCUUCAAGGAGCUUCUUACGUAGCUAAGGAAGCUGCUAAAAGAUGGCGGCAGUAAUCAGCGUGGGUUUGACUGGAUAGAGGCCAACCUGAAUGAGCAGCAGAUAGCAUUGAAUACAUUAGUUCGAGCCCUCUUGACAAAUGACCUUAGAACAGCCUGCCAGCCUGCUUUGAAUGUUCUUCGAUGCUCUAUAAGAUGAGGACAUGGUGAAGGAAGACGCCCUCUACAGCUGGAAGAGCAGCAAGGACCCUGCUGAAGAGCAGGGCAGGGGUGUGGCCCUUAAAUCUCUCAUAGCAUUCUUCAAUUAGCUUCUGGAGCUGCAGACGACUAGUCUGGUCACAACUGAUGGCAAGUGGGGCAGGGGACUUGGAUAUUUGGAUAGCUUCGCCAGCCAGCCGCCUGGACUGGAGGGGGCAGCAGCAGCAGUGGCAGUGGAUGCGUGUAGUGCACUGUGUCAUGACUGAGUGGCUGAUGAGGCAGGAUAGCUUGGGGUUGACUUCCCCUCUCUCCAGUAUUCUGCCAAGUGUCUCUCUCUCUGCCUCGCAGGGCAUGCAUGCAUAUAUAUAUAUAUAUAUAUAUAUAUAUAUAUAUAUAUAUAUAUAUGUGUGUGUGUGUGUGUGUGUGUGUGUGUGUGUGUGUAUCUUGAAAUUUGGUGUCUUUGUGGGGUGAGGGGCACUACUGCCUUGCUCUGGGGUCCUUUGUUAUUUUCUGAAAUCACUCUUGGGACUGCUGUGCUCACUGCUGGGGGUAGCAACACCUGUUGCUACCUGGGUGGGGAAAAGGGAGGGGAAUAGUGCCUAUAGUUAUUAAACAUGAAUUCAAUUUAAAAAA
rnacentral:lncRNA from 1 species